UGAAUACGAGAUGCUACGGCGUCGAAGCAGUCUAUGUCAUACUUCCAAGAAAAGCUCGCACUGUCAUAAACAAAUAAUGCCUGUACCAUAACCGACACAGGUGGGUAGGUAGAGUAUACUAAGGGGCGCGAGAUAACUCUCUCUAAGGAACUCGGCAAAAUGACUCCGUAACUUCGGGAGAAGGAGUGCCUUAUUUAUAAGGUUGCAAUAACAAGAUCCAAGCAACUGUUUAUCAAAAACACAGGUCUCCGCUAAGUCGUAAGACGAUGUAUGGGGGCUGACGCCUGCCCAGUGCCAGAAGGUUAAAGAAGUUGGUUAGCAUUCGCGAAGCUGAUAACUGAAGCCCUGGUGAACGGCGGCCGUAACUAUAACGGUCCUAAGGUAGCGAAAUUCCUUGUCGGGUAAGUUCCGACCCGCACGAAAGGCGUAAUGAUUUGGAUACUGUCUCGGAGAGGGGCUCGGUGAAAUAGACUUGUCUGUGAAGAUGCGGACUACCUGCACCAGGACAGAAAGACCCUAUGAAGCUUUACUGUAACUUGAGAUUGAAAUUGGACUUUACUUGCGCAGUAUAGGUGGGAGGCGUUGAUAAUAUUCUUGCGGGAUUAUUUGAGCCAUCAGUGAGAUACCACUCUUGUAAUGUUAGAUUUCUAACUUUGUAUCAUUAUCUGGUCAAAGGACAGUUUCAGGCGGGCAGUUUGACUGGGGCGGUCGCCUCCUAAACGGUAACGGAGGCGCACAAAGGUUUCCUCUGAACGGGUAGAAAUCGUAUCUAGAGUGUAAAGGCAUAAGGAAGCUUGACUGUGAGACCUACAAGUCGAGCAGGGACGAAAGUCGGUCUUAGUGAUCUGACGGUGCUGAGUGGAAAGGCCGUCACUCAACGGAUAAAAGUUACUCUAGGAUAACAGGCUGAUCUCCCCCAAGAGUUCACAUCGACGGGGAGGUUUGGCACCUCGAUGUCGGCUCAUCGCAUCCUGGGGCGGUAGUACGUCCCAAGGGUUGGGCUGUUCGCCCAUGAAAGCGGUACGCGAGCUGGGUUCAGAACGUCGUGAGACAGUUCGGUCCAUAUCCGGUGUAGGCGUUAGAAUAUUGAGAGGAGCCUUCUUUAGUACGAGAGGACCGAGAAGGACAUACCUCUGGUGUACCAGUUAUCGUGCCAACGGUAAACGCUGGGUAGCUAUGUAUGGAGUGGAUAACCGCUGAAAGCAUCUAAGUGGGAAGCCCACCUCAAGAUAAG
rnacentral:rRNA from 1 species